rnacentral:rRNA from 1 species
UACGUAGGGAGCAAGCGUUGUCCGGAAUCAUUGGGCGUAAAGCGCGCGUAGGUGGCUUCGUAAGUCCGUUGUGAAAGUCAAAGGCUCAACCUUUGAAAGCCGAUGGAUACUGUGAAGCUAGAGUACGGAAGAGGCGAGUGGAAUUCCUGGUGUAGCGGUGGAAUGCGCAGAUAUCAGGAGGAACACCAGUGGCGAAGGCGACACGCUGGGCCGUACCUGACACUGAUGCGCGGCAGCAUGGGGAGCAAACAGG